UUGUGGCCCAAGGCUUACAUACUGUGUGUUUCUGGAUAGGACCUUUGCCUUAUCUGGUUGUCCAUGACAUUGACGACAUAAGGGCAGUGAUGGCCAGUUCAAAAACUAUUGACAAAGCACAGGAGUACGACUAUUUGAUAAUGGGACUGGACUCAGGAGCAGGCCCAAUUAAACAUGGCUUGCUUACGGCUCCCAGCCCAGUUUGGAAACCAACUCGAAAAGUGAUCAAUACAAUGUUUAGGCCUCACAACUUGAACCUGAUGAUGCCAGUUUACAACAAACAUUCUCG